rnacentral:lncRNA from 1 species
UGGACCUCAGCUCAUGCGCAUUGAAAAGAGGGUUUAGGUAAGAUCUUAAUUGAUCAUAUAUAGAAUUUUUAACAAUAUGCUCUCAUUAUUUAGGAUUUUAAGAUACUCAAAUAAUUUAUGAAAACUGCUGUCCAGAAUGAGCUCCAAAGAUCUUAUGUCUUCAUCUAACAUCUCAUCUUCAUGCUUAUGUAUUUGAGAGAAUGGCACACAGUUUGAGAGACAGGUGAGAUUUGGACAUCUUCUAA